UCAUUACUCCCUCCGUCCGUAAAAACUUGUCCCUCAAAUGGAUGUAUCUAGCACCAAGUUAGUGCUAGAUACAUCCAUUUGAGGAACAAGCUUGGGACAAGUUUUUCCGGACGGAGAGAUACUUC
rfam:Triticum aestivum genome assembly, contig: Triticum_aestivum_CS42_TGACv1_scaffold_322064_4BL